rnacentral:rRNA from 1 species
CGGGGAAUAUUGGACAAUGGGCGAAAGCCUGAUCCAGCAAUGCCGCGUGAGUGAUGAAGGCCUUAGGGUUGUAAAGCUCUUUUACCCGGGAUGAUAAUGACAGUACCGGGAGAAUAAGCCCCGGCUAACUCCGUG